rnacentral:lncRNA from 1 species
UAUGAAAAUCUUUACCAAAAAAUAGUUUAUUGCACAAAAUUUAAGGAAUUCCCAAGCACACUUACAUUUGUAAAAAAAUCAACGUGCUUUUUAAAGUUACACUUUGUCAGACAAGGUGACCCCUUUCCCCAGAACAGCCACAACUUGAGUGCUCUCUUUUGUGAGGAAAUUUUUAAUAAAAAUGAGUAACUCAAAAGCACUGAAUUUUCCAGACCCUCUAACACAUUUCCCUCAGGAUCCUGUGAGAGCCUGAGAUCACUGUAUGAUGAAAUUUGCCUGGACCUUCCAGUCAGUGAGCUGAGAACGCCUCACACCACAGCAUCACUCAAGUCCUCACGUCAGAGGGCUCCUCGAAGGGAGGCUCCAGGACGGUUCUCUCUCAGAUUUGCUGGUCCCCUCCCCUCUGAGAAUCUUCACAUACAACAUUCUGUUUUUGUUUUUAAAGACCUCAGGGAACUAGAACUCUUACGUUGUGGGAACCCUACACCAAGGAGAGCUGAGGGCAAACUCCCUAGCACAGCACAGUGCGGCACGGACUGCGUUCUGGGGGGCAGGGCCCUGCUGGACCCACCUGAGGAGAGUCCGUUUCACAUCCUAUCAAAAUCACUGCCUGAUCCAUAGUGCAGAGGUUGGGAACAGGGGUGUGAGUCCGUAAGACCCGUAGCAUCCAUCUCACACACACCAUGGAAAAACACAUGAAAACCAAGUUACGUUGUUUUGGGAGCGUCAGAAAAACAACCAGUGACGUCGUGAAGUGCCCAAGCCUGUUGUGACACACAGCGUGGGGACAAACACGCCGCAUAAUGCUCUGGGGACCCUGUUUUCUAAGCAAUACUCCCGACUUCACUGCCUUUUCCAUGAGGAUAUUCCAUCAUUCCCACUGCUGCCCACAAGAAGAAAAUAAUUCAAACUUUACGCACUGAAGUAACUCUGGGAGGUAGAAGUGCCAGGAGAGUCCCUUGGAGAUAAGAAAAAAACCUCGACAAUAAAGAAAAAGCUGGCAAUUUAAAACUUCAGUCGGGGGUGGUGGUUCACGCCUUUAAACCUAGCACUUUGGGAGGCUGAGGUGGGCAGAUCACCUGAGGUCAGGAGUUCGAGACCAGCCUGGCCAAAAUGGUGAAACUCCACCCCCAUAAAAAUACAAAAAUUAGCCCGGUGUGGUGGCGGGCACUGUAGUCCCAGCUACUCGGGAGAAUGAGGCAGGAGAAUGGCUUGAACCCGGAAGGCGGAGCUUGCAGUGAGCCAAGGUCACGCCACUGCACUCCAGCCUGGGCGACAGAGUCAGACUCUGUCUCAAAAAACAAACAAAAAACCCAACUUCCUCUUUUAGGCAUCGUCUUAAGAAAGGAAGCCUGAAGGCAGUGUCCGUGUGAACACAAGAGGUCUCAGAUCCAGAAGCACAAGCCGUGCAUGAAAACACCGGAAGACUCACCGUGGAGAGCGAGGGCAGCCAGGCCCUGCCAAACCAGAGGGGGCCCUGGCACCGGCGGCCACAGAGCACCGGGGAGGUAUCACGCCCAAGGGCACACGCAGGAAAAGCGGGGUGAGAAACGCAGAGCUAACUUCCCUUGAGUAUUUUCACAAUUAGUUUGUCCUAAGAGAAAAAAAAUACACGGUGAACAUCGCUCACUCGAGGACUUUCCAUGAGAAGUCGCUCCCCAUCGAAUGUGUGUGAUUUCUUGAUUUUAAUUUUUAAAAAUUUUCUUAUUUUUUUGAGACGGGAGUCUCGCUCUGUUGCCCAGGCUGGAGUGC